rnacentral:rRNA from 1 species
CCUACGGGAGACAGCAGUGGGGGAUAUUGCACAAUGGGGGAAACCCUGAUGCAGCGACGCCGCGUGUGGGAAGACGGUCCUCUGGAUUGUAAACCACUGUCCCCAGGGACGAAGAUGACGGUACCUGGGGAGGAAGCUCCGGCUAACUACGUGCCAGCAGCCGCGGUCAUACGUAGGGAGCGAGCGUUGUCCGGAAUUACUGGGUGUAAAGGGAGCGUAGGCGGGACUGCAAGUUGGGUGUAAAAUCUACCGGCUCAACCGGUAGCCGCACUCAAAACUGCAGUUCUUGAGUGAAGUAGAGGCAGGCGGAAUUCGUAGUGUAGCGGUGAAAUGCGUAGAUAUUAGGAGGAACACCAGUGGCGAAGGCAGCCUGCUGGGCUUUUACUGACGCUGAGGCUCGAAAGUGUGGGGAGCAAACAGGAUUAGAUACCCCAGUAGUC